rnacentral:rRNA from 1 species
GAUGAACGCUAGCUACAGGCUUAACACAUGCAAGUCGCGGGGCAGCAUGGGGGUUGCUUGCAAUCCCCGAUGGCGACCGGCGCACGGGUGAGUAACGCGUAUCCAACCUGCCCUUCACCACGGGAUAACCCGGCGAAAGUCGGACUAAUACCGUAUGUUUUCCAUUGACGGCAUCCGAUUUGGACGAAAUGCUUGGCUGUGAGGGAUGGGGAUGCGUCCGAUUAGCCAGACGGCGGGGUAACGGCCCACCGUGGCUACGAUCGGUAGGGGUUCUGAGAGGAAGGUACACCACAAUGGAAAUGAGACACGGAACAGAAGACUACGGGAGGCAGCAGAGAGGAAUAUUGGUCAAUGGGAGUAAGCCUGAAACAGCCAAGUAGCGUGCAGGAGGACGGGCAUAGGGGUUGUAAACUGCUUUUAUGAGGGGAUAAAGUGGGAAACGUGUGGGGUUUUGCAGGUACCGAAUGAAUAAGGACCGGCUAAUUCCGUG